GACGAACGCUGGCGGCGUGCUUAACACAUGCAAGUCGAACGGAAAGGCCCUGCUUUUGUGGGGUGCUAGAGUGGCGAACGGGUGAGUAACACGUGAGUAACCUGCCCUUGACUUUGGGAUAACUUCAGGAAACUGGGGCUAAUACCGGAUAGGAGCUCCUGCUGCAUGGUGGGGGUUGGAAAGUUUCGGCGGUUGGGGAUGGACUCGCGGCUUAUCAGCUUGUUGGUGGGGUAGUGGCUUACCAAGGCUUUGACGGGUAGCCGGCCUGAGAGGGUGACCAGCCACAUUGGGACUGAGGUACGGCCCAGACUCCUACGGGAGGCAGCAGUGGGGAAUAUUGCACAAUGGGCGGAAGCCUGAUGCAGCAACGCCGCGUGCGGGAUGACGGCCUUCGGGUUGUAAACCGCUUUCGCCUGUGACGAAGCGUGAGUGACGGUAAUGGGUAAAGAAGCACCGGCUAACUACGUG
rnacentral:rRNA from 1 species